GAUGAACGCUGGCGGCGUGCCUAAUACAUGCAAGUCGAGCGAACAGACGAGGAGCUUGCUCCUCUGACGUUAGCGGCGGACGGGUGAGUAACACGUGGAUAACCUACCUAUAAGACUGGGAUAACUUCGGGAAACCGGAGCUAAUACCGGAUAAUAUAUUGAACCGCAUGGUUCAAUAGUGAAAGACGGUUUUGCUGUCACUUAUAGAUGGAUCCGCGCCGCAUUAGCUAGUUGGUAAGGUAACGGCUUACCAAGGCAACGAUGCGUAGCCGACCUGAGAGGGUGAUAGGCCACACUGGAACGGAGACACGGUCAAGACGACUAAGGGAGGCAGCAGUAGGGAAUCUUACGCAAUGGGCGAAAGCCUGACGGAGCAACGCCGCGUGAGUGAUAAAGGUCUUCGGAUCGUAAAACUCUGUUAUUAGGGAAGAACAAAUGUGUAAGUAACUAUGCACGGCUUGACGGUACCUAAUCAGAAAGCCACGGCUAACUACGUG
rnacentral:rRNA from 1 species